rnacentral:rRNA from 1 species
GAUGAACGCUGGCGGCGUGCCUAAUACAUGCAAGUCGAGCGAACGGACGAGAAGCUUGCUUCUCUGAUGUUAGCGGCGGACGGGUGAGUAACACGUGGAUAACCUACCUAUAAGACUGGGAUAACUUCGGGAAACCGGAGCUAAUACCGGAUAAUAUUUUGAACCGCAUGAUUCAAAAGUGAAAGACGGUCUUGCUGUCACUUAUAGAUGGAUCCGCGCUGCAUUAGCUAGUUGGUAAGGUAACGGCUUACCAAGGCAACGAUGCGUAGCCGACCUGAGAGGGUGAUCGGCCACACUGGAACUGAGACACGGUCCAGACUCCUACGGGAGGCAGCAGUAGGGAAUCUUCCGCAAUGGGCGAAAGCCUGACGGAGCAACGCCGCGUGAGUGAUGAAGGUCUUCGGAUCGUAAAACUCUGUUAUUAGGGAAGAACAUAUGUGUAAGUAACUGUGCACAUCUUGACGGUACCUAAUCAGAAAGCCACGGCUAACUACGUG